AUACGGAGGGGGCUAGCGUUGUUCGGAAUUACUGGGCGUAAAGCGCGCGUAGGCGGCUUGCCAAGUUGGAGGUGAAAGCCCGGGGCUCAACCCCGGAACUGCCUUCAAAACUGGCGAGCUAGAGUCCGGGAGAGGAGAGUGGAAUUCCCAGUGUAGAGGUGAAAUUCGUAGAUAUUGGGAAGAACACCAGUGGCGAAGGCGGCUCUCUGGACCGAUACUGACGCUGAGGCGCGAAAGCGUGGGGAGCAAACGGGAUUAGAAACCCCUGUAAUCC
rnacentral:rRNA from 1 species